rnacentral:rRNA from 1 species
CGCGCAGGCGGUCUUGUCCGUCAGGUGUGAAAGCUCGGGGCUCAACCCCGGAAGUGCACUUGAAACAGCAAGACUUGAAUACGGGAGAGGAGAGGGGAAUUCCUGGUGUAGAGGUGAAAUUCGUAGAUAUCAGGAGGAACACCGAUGGCGAAGGCAUCUCUCUGGACCGAUAUUGACGCUGAGGCGCGAAGGCGUGGGUAGCGAACG